UACGGGGGGGGCAAGCGUUGUUCGGAAUUACUGGGCGUAAAGGGUUCGUAGGUGGCCAACUAAGCCAGACGUGAAAUCCCUCAGCUUAACUGGGGAACUGCGUCUGGGACUGGAUGGCUUGAGUGCAGGAGAGGAACGCGGAAUUCCAGGUGUAGCGGUGAAAUGCGCAGAUAUCAGGAAGAACACCCGUGGCGAAAGCGGCUCUCUGGAACGGUACUGACGCUGAGACGCGAAAGCGUGGGGAGCGAACAGG
rnacentral:rRNA from 1 species